rnacentral:siRNA from 1 species
UAAUGUUUUUUGUGCUGAUGUGGA